ensembl:snRNA U6 U6 spliceosomal RNA
GCUCACUUCAGCUGCGUAUAUAUUAAAACUGGAAUAACAAAAAGAUUAGCAUGGCCCCUGUGCAAGGAUGACACGCAAAUUUGUGAAGCAUUCCAUAUUUUU